rnacentral:misc_RNA from 1 species
GGCGACUUCACUUUUUCCGUCCACCGGCUGAAAGAGAAAAAUGUUUCACCACCUAUUUUAAAAAGUAUUUAUUUCCCACUUUUAUUCUUCGAAUCUACGGUAGAAAUUAAUUGGAAAAAAAUAAUAUUCUUUUUGGAUCAGAAAAUAAUUGAAAUUCGCGAUAAAGAAAAAUUCUUGUUUUGAUCUUCCAUUGAAGGGUUCAUUGAUUUCUGAGCUUUUUGAUUCAAAGGGUUUUUUCAGAAAAUGGAGAAAGUAAUGAAUAUAUUGAAGCCGAAACCGAAUCCUCAACAGAUUUUGAGGGAUUGGCAACGUCGGCUCCGGCAAGAGUGUCGGAAUAUUGAACGUCAAAUUCGAGAUAUACAAAGGGAGGAGAAGAAUGUACAGAAAGCAAUUAAAGAAGCAGCAAAGAGAAAUGAUAUGGGUUCUGCCAAGGCACUUGCUAAAGAGAUUGUGAGAUCUAAAAAGACUGUGAACCGAUUAUACGAGAAUAAGGCGCAGUUGAAUUCAAUAUCCAUGCACCUUGGAGAAAGUGUUGCCAUUGCUCGCACAGUGGGGCAUUUGUCUAAGAGCGCUGAAGUCAUGAAGCUCGUCAAUAAUCUUAUGAAGGCUCCAGAAGUGGCUAUGACAAUGCAGGAGUUUAGUAAAGAAAUGACCAAGGCUGGUGUCAUGGAAGAAAUGGUCAAUGAUGCGGUGGACAGUGCCCUGGAUUCAGAAGA